rnacentral:SRP_RNA from 1 species
GCCGGGCGUGGUGGUGUGCACCUGGAGUCCCAGCUUCUCGGGAGGCUGAGGUGGGAGGAUCAGUCGAGCCCAGGAGCUCAAGGCUGCAGUGAGCCGUUAUCGCCCCACCGCACUCCAGCCUGGGCAACAGAGUGAGACCCCACCUCAA